GUUCAUCACCAUAUUGGUUGUGUUAUCCCUUGACAUGGCUAUACUAUUGAAGUGAAACGGGCCCACAACAUUUGAUGCAUCAGCAAGUGUGCGUCUGGGAGGAGAUUGUUGUUCAGCUGCCAUCUCUUCUGAUCUUUGCUCUGGUGAGGGUUGUAACAAUCUCUGAGGAGAAGGAAACAAUUCUCUAGAUGAACGUCUAACUCUCUUUCCCCUCUUGUCUGUCAGUCCUUCAGGAAGCGGUUGCUGGUUUUUCUUACUUCUAGUAUGAAUGCCUUCCUGCAUAAACAAGAAAAAAACCUUAGAAGCACUUUUAUAUAAAAAAAAUAAAAAAAACAAAACAAAAACAAAAAUAAAAUGUAUACAAACAAGUCAAAUUUAAUCAAUUUACACUACUUAAAAAGUUAAACCACAAGUCCUCAGCAACGGCGCCAAAAACUUGUUAAGCCCUUGGCAAGUGUACCAGAUCGUUAUCAAGUAAUAUAUAAAGGGUAAGUCCGAGUAUCGUUCCCCC
rnacentral:lncRNA from 1 species